rnacentral:lncRNA from 1 species
AUAUUGCUCAUUGCUUAUUGCUUGUUACUUGUCAAAGUCCAAAGGAAAAUGGGUUUCUAUAUGACAUUCUUGUCUGUUGGAUUGCAUCCCAUUGGUCAGAUCUUUUUAACUCUUAACUUUUAAUUUGUGCUUAGGAUAGCCUCUUCAUCUCCUCCCACUUCUUAAAUUUAAAAAUCUCUUCCUCUUUUAAAAAUCCUCUCUUUGCUU